GUGGGGAAAGGCAAGACACUUGUUUUCUUUGUGAAUAAAGAAUCGGAUAGUGAAGGAAAGGCAGUGUGGAUGUUGGAAGUUGAGUAAGAUGGGUACCAGGCAGACUAAGUAAGAAGAUUCAGCUGAACACUGCAGCCUGGACCACCAGGGGGAGCCACGGCCAUGUGUAGUCCUGAAUGAGUUAUGGGGCAGGAAGCCUUUGAGGAGGGAAUGCAGAUUCCAGCAAGUGCUGCAGCUCCUCCCUCAGAAACCACAGUCUGGGCGCACUGGGCUGUUGCUGGGCAAGGCCCCUGGCUGUGUGGGAUCCAGGCACAAUUGCCACUCCCAGGAGUCAUGACCGGCCCGCUCCUGGUGCUCUGGGCAUCUCUGGUGUCUGUGGAGCUCACCCGAGGCUUGAUGGCCACUGUAGUGCCAGCACGAAAUCUGAGCUGCUUCCAGUGCUUCAAGGUUCGCAGGGCCAGCCUGUGUCAUCCCAUGGAGUGCCAGCCUAGCGAAAAAGUCUGCGUGAGCAAUGAGGUUCUUCUUUACACGAGUACAAAGAGCAGGACUCAGAUCAGCAAGCGCUGUGCCAUCACUUGUCCCAACUCCAACGAUCUCUUUGAGUGGUCAGUGAAAAAUAUUCAGGCCAGGAUCACCAGACGAUGCUGUUCGUGGGAUCACUGCAACAGAGCACCUGACAGCUGGGAGGGGUUCAGAGCCUUACCAGGGAGGCUCCUGCUGCCAAUGGGUCUGGGCCUCUUCUGCAUCCUGUUGUGAGAAACAUUGUCCUGGGAUACCCUUCCCUGACACACACAGCCUCAAACCCCACCUUCAUCCAUUCCAGGACUUACAAGGCAAAGCACAGUCCCUGAGCUAGAAGGGAGGACACCAUACCCUUUGCUUAGGACCCAGGAGCCUGCUCCUACCUAACAUCCUGGCCCACAAAGAAUAAAACCCUUCUGCUCCUCAUGGAGAUGGACAAGGAAUUUUUCCAAAGCAGGCCACAGGCUUCUUCAAGAAAGCCCUGGACCUUUAGCACACGGUCAAGCACUAUGAGAGGCAGAUGGACCUGAAGAAGCCAGAGGUGCAGGAUACUCUGACACUGCUCUACCUGUGUCCCCUGUUCAUGCACGGGAACUAGGACAUCUCACUCCUCAGAGACAGUAAACUGCUGCUUCCCCACA
rnacentral:lncRNA from 1 species